CCCUUAGAUGUCCGGGGCCGCAUGCGCGCUACACUGAAGGAAUCAACGUGGCUUUCUCCCUGACCCGAAAGGGUUGGGAAACCCGUUGAAUCUCCUUCGUGAUAGGGAUUGGGGCUUGAAAUUGUUCCCCAUGAACGAGGAAUUCCCAGUAAGCGCGAGUCAUAAGCUCGCGUUGAUUACGUCCCUGCCCUUUGUACACACCGCCCGUCGCUACUACCGAUUGAACGGUUUAGUGAGGGCCUCGGAUUGGUCUCGGCCCGCUCUUUACCGGGCGGCGCCGUUGGUCGAGAAGACGCUCGAACUUGAUCGUUUAGAGGAAGUAAAAGUCGUAACA
rnacentral:rRNA from 1 species